GACAGACUCCUACGGGAGGCAGCAGUGAGGAAUAUUGGUCAAUGGGCGGAAGCCUGAACUAGCCAAGUCGCGUGAGGGAAGAAGGCCCUGCGGGUCGCAGACCUCUUUGGACGGGGAGCAAGGCCGCCGACGUGUCGGCGGAAGGAGAGUACCCGUAGAACAAGCAUCGGCUAACUCCGUGCCAGCAGCCGCGGUAAUACGUAGGGGGCAAGCGUUAUCCGGAUUUACUGGGUGUAAAGGGGGCGCAGACGGCAGUGCGAGUCUGGAGUGAAAGCCCGUGGCUUAACCACGGGACUGCUCUGGAAACUGUGCAGCUAGAGUGCAGGAGAGGCAGGCGGAAUUCCUAGUGUAGCGGUGAAAUGCGUAGAUAUUAGGAGGAACACCGGUGGCGAAGGCGGCCUGCUGGACAGCAACUGACGGUGAGGCGCGAAAGCGUGGGGAGCAAACAGGAUUAGAUACCCCCGUAGAC
rnacentral:rRNA from 1 species